rnacentral:rRNA from 1 species
AUUCCGGUUGAUCCUGCCGGAGGCCAUUGCUAUCGGAGUCCGAUUUAGCCAUGCUAGUCGCACGGGUUCAGACCCGUGGCGGAUAGCUCAGUAACACGUGGCCAAACUACCCUGUGGACGACAAUAACCUCGGGAAACUGAGGCUAAUCUCGAUAAUGCUUCCAGCCUGGAACUGGCGGAUGGACGAAAUGCUCCGGCGCCAUAGGAUGUGGCUGCGGCCGAUUAGGUAGACGGUGGGGUAACGGCCCACCGUGCCGAUAAUCGGUACGGGUCAUGAGAGUGAGAGCCCGGAGACGGACUCUGAGACACGAGUCCGGGCCCUACGGGGCGCAGCAGGCGCGAAACCUUUACACUGCACGACAGUGCGAUAGGGGGACACCGAGUGCGAGGGCAUAGAGCCCUCGCUUUUGUAGACCGUAAGGAGGUCUACGAAUAAGGGCUGGGCAAGACCGGUGCCAGCCGCCGCGGUAAUACCGGCAGCCCAAGUGAUGGCCGCUGUUAUUGGGCCUAAAGCGUCCGUAGCU